AUUGAACGCUGGCGGCAUGCUUUACACAUGCAAGUCGAACGAGUGGCGCACGGGUGAGUAAUACAUCGGAACGUGUCCUAUCGUGGGGGAUAACUGAUCGAAAGAUCAGCUAAUACCGCAUACGAUUGGAGCGGCCGAUGCCCGAUUAGCUAGUUGGUGAGGUAAAGGCUCACCAAGGCGACGAUCGGUAGCUGGUCUGAGAGGACGACCAGCCACACUGGGACUGAGACACGGCCCAGACUCCUACGGGAGGCAGCAGUGGGGAAUCUUCCGCAAUGGACGAAAGUCUGACGGAGCAACGCCGCGUGAGUGAUGACGGCCUUCGGGUUGUAAAGCUCUGUUAAUCGGGACGCGGUACCGGAAUAGAAAGCCACGGCUAACUACGUGCCAGCAGCCGCGGUAAUUC
rnacentral:rRNA from 1 species